GCGCCUCGCAGCGCCUCUCACUCCGCCGCACACGCCAGCGCAGCGAGGCGGCGGCCGGCGGGAGCGGGACACGCAGCCGUCCCCGCGGGCAGCGUCCGGCCGGACACCGCGGCAAGACACGGGAGGCGGGCGGAGGGCGCCGGGCGAGCCCCGCGGAGGAGCAGAAUCAUUUUGUCCUGGCCUGCAGCUCCCUGCCUCCCCUGACGGAAGUCUGCUUUCCUGCUCUGAUCUCUUCAGUCAAGGUGUAGCUUAUCUUGGAAAGUGGAAUUGUGCUGCUGGGAGUGGACAAGGUUUUGGCAGGGCAAGGGGAACAGCCAGGUAGGUGAGUGAAUUAAAUUAAUGGCUUUGGCCACUGGGGCACUGGGCUGGUUUUUUUUUUCAACAGUUAUUGCAAAGGGAAAAGAAACCAAACCAAACCAAACCAAACGUGUGAGAUGGCUGGGCCACUUUCCACCUCGCAGGUGCUCUUGUCUGCAGUUGCAUGUGCCAGCUGGGACCUAUAUCCCUCAUCUCUUGCUGCUCGAGCUGACUAUAUGAUGCAGUGCUUUGGGAAAAGCACUGUGCUUCUCUUCUGGUGCUCAUCCAGCCCCCAAAGCAGGUGGAAGAAGGCUAAGGGAUGAGUGAUGCAGCAGUGUCCCCUGGUUAGCCCUCCCUGCAAUCCCAUCUGCAGAUAAAACUGCAUUCAGAAGUGGUCAUGCUGAGGGGGUGUCCCAGAUGGGACCACUUGCACCACAACAUGCUACAUUCUGCCUGAGCCUGCCCCAAAAAGCUCUGCUACAGUGAGGAAGGAGGAAGUGAAGGCUGCAGCCUCUUGGGAUGUACUUAGAAACCCUGGGAAGCAUCGAUGGAUGGGCCUUGCUUGCCCUGGGAACUGUAAAUCCCUUGCUCCGCUGGUGAUGGCAGUGCCCCUGCUCUGGCAGAACUAAGGGGAUGUCCCUGUCUCCUCUGCUUUUGGGAACAUCUUUGCUGCUCUGAACUACUCCCCUCCCAGGACCAUACAGGCCAUUAAGAUGAUUAAGGGAUUGGAGCAGCUGUCCUGAGAGCUGGAAAAAUGAAGGCUUGGGAAGGGGGUUCUUGUCCAUGCCUGGUUGGGGGAUAAAGAAUCACAGAAUAGUAAGGUUGGAAGGAACCACUAUGGGUCAUCUGGUCCAACCUCUCUGCUCAAGGGGUCAUCCUAGAGGGCAUUGGACAGAAUUGUGUCCAGAUGGUUUUUUAAUACCUCCAGUGAGGGAGACUCCACACCCUCUCUGGGCAACCUGUUCCUUUGUGUGGUCACCCACACAGUGAAGCUGUUCUUCCUCAUUUUCAUGUGGAACUUCCUGUGCAUUAGUUUCUGCCCAUUGCCUCUUGUCCUCUUGGGGGGCCUCACUGAGCAGAACCUGAUCCAUCCUCUGGCACCCUCACUGCAGAUACUGACAGACAUUGAUGAGGACCCCUCUCAGUUGUAACUUCUCCAGGCUGAACAGCUCAGCUCCCUCAGUCUUUCCUUGUAAGAGAGAUGUUUCAAUUCCUUAAUCAUCUUUGUAUCCCUCUGUUGGAUCUGCUCCAAGAACUCGAUGUGUCUCUUGUACUGAGGAGCCCAGAACUGGACACAGCAUUCCAGAUAUGGCCUCAGAUAUGGAGGGGCAGGAUCUUGCUCUGCUGCCAAUGCUCUUCCUAAUGCAUUCUAGGAUACCAGUGGCCUUCUUGGUCCCCAGGGCACACUGCUGGCUAAGGGACAUCUUCUUGUCCACUGAGAUUCCCUGGUCCUUCUCUGCAGAGCUGCUUCCCAGCAGGUUGGCCCCCAUCAGGUACUUGUGCAUGGAGUUAUUCUUGCCCAGGUGCACCAUCGUAGUGAGUGUUCAGGGGUUUAAACCAGCAGAAGGUGGUAGGCAGGAUUUGAGAAGAGGAAGGCAAAUGAUACAAGCUUAAAAAAAUCACCAGUGAAACCACAGAGACACAUCACAGAGAGGGGAGGGAGCAGUUCUGGAGGCCCCCAGCCCCACAGUGACACCAUGCAGGGUAUAGGAGCAAGGGCCCCAGCAGCCCUGCUUCAUGAUGCCAGUAGAAAUAUCCAGGAUUCCCCCUUUCUGCCCAGCCCAAUCCUCACUGCUCAGUGUGGCCCAGCAAGAGGACAAGAGGCAAUGGGCAGAAACUAAUGCACAGGAAGUUCCACAUGAAAAUGAGGAGUGGCACAGGACCCAGCACUCUGCCAUGCACUUUGUAGCCUGAUGCCACCUCCUCCUUGGUGGGGCAGAAGGCUCCGUGUCAUCAGCCACAUGCUGCCAAGGCCACUGAACUCAGGAAAUUUAAUAAAAGCAGUGAGAACCA